GAAAACUGAAUUUAUUAAAUUACGUAUGGGUGGAGAUUAAAAAAAUAUUAGAGAUUAAAGGGUUUUUGUACUAUACACCCAUCUGGAAAAACAUAAAUCUUAAGGAAUUGCAAACGAUUAAGAUCUAUAUAGACUGGG